UCAUUCCCCACGACGACAACGAGGAGGAGGAGGAAUGACGCUGGAGGCUGUCGGUGCCCUGUGGGGGCCGAAUCGUCCAGGUGCAAACCAGGGCUGGAAGCAGAUCGCCAUCUACCCUGCCGUCCGUGGUGCUCCGUGCUGGGAAGGAACCACCAAGGAGGUUAAGGGUAGCGGGAGGGAAGGCGGCCCCACCACGGGGGACCCACACGAGCCAGUGCGGCACAAGCCGGUUGGGUCCUGGGGACAGUUUACAGGCAGCGGGCACAGCCAGCGCCAGGGCUCCUGGUGAGCCGUCGAGGGGUGGAGGUGAGCCCCGAGCCUGCAGGGCCAGAGGAGGGAAGUGGGGUGCUGGCUGGCUGGCUAGGAGUGGGGCAGCUCAAGGUGAGGGUCCCUGCACGUUUGCAGACGAGGCGGGUGUCGCAGUUGUCUGAUCCUCUGCCUGGGGCCCGAGGGAGAGAAGCGGAUGGCACUGAAGGGGGACAGGGGGUUCACACCGAGCUGCCGACCCCUCCCCGUGCCCGUCGCGUGGGGCGCUGGUGCACAGAGAAGCUGCUCCAGGGCAGAGGCCAGGCCGAAGGGUCAGAAGUCCGCGCUUGCACCUUGGUCCCGGGGGGUGGCCUUGCCGAGCCCCGCCGUGGGGACCCCGGGCCGGGGUGACCUGCUGCGGCCCGGGAGCCUGGAGACCCGGCGGCUUCCUUCCCCGGCCCGAUGCUCCGCUUCCGGCUUCCGCCGGGCUCCGGCCGCUGGCGCCCCCUGCCGAGGGGGAGCGACGGCUUCGCGGCAGAAGGCACCGAGCAGAAGAGGCCUGGAGCGCUCGGCGCGCACUCACCGUCUACGCGGGUCUCUCUGCACGACGACAUUUCUACCUCAUCACAGACCUCAGAGCAACAGAGCCAGCUGACUAUGGCCUGAACUCUCUGAAUCCAGCCCAUGAACCUUUCCUCCUUCAGUUUCUACUCCCGGGCAUUUUGUAACAGUGUCAGAAAGCAGAUGAACACAGGCAUCAUGAAGUUGGCCAAAGCGGAAGUCGGCCUUGACUACGAUGAAGCAUUUGCAAAGCUAAUGGUGUCGGGAGGCCUGUCUCUGCUCUGCCGAAUCAGCCAGGUCUCAGAAAGGUGGUUCAAUAUCUGCAGCAUUAACACGAGGGGCAGCCUCCAGCAAAAUCAUAAUUGAACACACCCAGGUCCUUAACGUCGGCAGCUGGCUCUCCUGAUGUAAAUUACGGUAAGGUUUCAGAUGGGAACAGACUAUUUCCAAUAACUGCUCAGUGGAAAUAAAGAGAGAGACAGAGAGAGAGAGAGAGAGAGAGAGAGAGAGAGAGAGAGAGAGAGAGAGAUU